rfam:Rhizobium etli strain 8C-3 plasmid clone REB01, partial sequence.
GGAGGAUGGCCCUCCGGGAUCGGCUUUCAGGAGCGGGUCUCAAACCAGUCCGAGCUGCUGCGGUAAAGAGCCGUGGUGGCUGGGGCUUACUUUCCGCCGCCGGU